GCGACAUUGAUCCGGCUUGGUGUUCCCGAAAGCGCCCGAUCGGGUGUGGAACCGAACAGGGAAUUCCGUAAGGGCCAGCCGGUCCGAAGCGGAAGCCGCCCCCGCGACUGUAAGCGGAGAGCCCUUGUCCAACGUGCCACUUGACCAUCCGGUCAGGGAAGGCGGGCAAGGGCAUCGACUCGCGAGCCAGGAGACCUGCCAGGCAUGUGAAACGCAA
rnacentral:ncRNA from 2 species